rnacentral:lncRNA from 1 species
AUAAUUUUUUUAAUUAUAUAUAAUAUAGACGAGGAGAGAGAUUAAAAAAAGUAAGUAUAUUAUGGAUUUUUUAAACUUAAAAAAAUAUGGAUAAUUUUGAUUUUUGAUAUUAAUCGUGUAAUCGGGGUCGGGUUCGGUGUGGAGGAGGCUAUUAUAUAUUUUUUUAUAUAAUUAUUGGUAUAUAUAUCAUAUAUAUAUAUAUAUAUACUAUAUAGAGAUUAAGGAUAUUAUGGUAUAUUUCAUUUUUAAAAAAAUAUGGAUAAUUUUAAUUUUUAUAUGUAUCGGGUAAUCGGGGCGGGUUCGGGGUUCAGGAGGCUAAAUUACCCCGCCCCGAUUAUUAAUCGAGUUAUUUUUUCCCAAACCGGCCCCUAACUAGGGCGGGACCCCGACGGGUAUCGGAUUUUCCAGGGUCAAUUGCCAUCCCUAUCUAUCUCCACUCUUCUCACUCUUAAUUUUUUUACGUCAAAUAAAUACGAAUUUCCUUUAGAAAAUUAAUUUAAAUCAAACAUCAAUAAAAUAAAUAAAUGUGAACACAAAUAUUAAGAAAGAGAAACUGAAAUUAAAAAAGACGACCAUGAAAAUUCUUGAGUCAAAUUUCACAUGUAUAUCUAUAUAACCCAAAAAGUUAUCCAAUCUAGAAUUAUGUUUCAUAUAAUCAAGAAAGAUUAGAUUUGACAUAAAAAUAUAUAACCAUAACCAGCCACAGAGGUGUCAUAACAAGUUUUAAUAGAAUUUUAGACAAAUACUAACAGAGUAAAAUUGAUAAUUUUAUAGUUUAAAGAACUAUAAAUAAAUUAUUUUAAUGGAGGAUGAAGUGAUAAAGUUUUACGCGUGGCCGAGUUUGAUGUUUGACUGGGGGAAAGUGAUAAAGGUUUGGGCCCUAGCAGAGCUCACAAUUUAAUUAAAAAAGAGAAAGGUUCAAUUUAUUUUAAAAUCUACUAAAACUAAAAAGUAAUUGUUUAUGUAGUAAAAAAUGGAUUAAAUUUUGUCUUCAAAUUGAUUUUGUUUUACAAACUCGAAAAAAGUUUCCAAGUUCCAGAUUUUCCUUCCUCCUCCGUUAAAAAAAUUUUAAAUUUUUAAUGAAAACGACAAAAAUUACCAACAGACAAAAAAAAUUGAAAUAAGAGCAUAAAAAAUAACUAGCAAUUGUCAAGCAAAAAUGUAAACCUCUUUUGAGUUUACAUACACAUAUCCAUCCAUGAUCAAGAAAUACUAAAUUCCAUCUUAAGAAAAAUAACUGAAGAUUAACUCCUAUAUUUUAAUAUUUAAAGUACUUUUUGCUUAAAUUUACAAAUGUUAAAUGUUAAAUUUCUUUUAAAUAGUAAUGAUGAUUUUUUUUGUUGUGUUUGGGGAAAAAAAUUACAGGACUUCAGAUGAGAACUCAAAAUAUAAAUAUAUUUAAUCAAAUAUACUAUUACUUAAAACUUAAUAUCUUUUUUAUAUUUAAAUAUAAAUUUUAGAAUACCAAAUUUUAUACACAACUUUUAAGUAACGUAAUUGGAUAAAAUCUUGAAAGAAAAACUUGGAAAUGAUUGAAUUUAUUUAAAACUUAGAGAUGAAAACAGACUUUGAGCUAAAGUUUUAAUGAAUAGUAAAAAUUUCUUUAAACGCAUAUUUUCGGGCAGUAAUGAAUUAAGUUGCCAAAAAUGAAUUGUAAUAUAAAAAAAAAUAGAUGUACUCAAAGUCCCCCGUUUUGGCAUAAUUGAUUAUACAUUUUUUUAUUACGGUCCUCGCUACCAUUGCCUAUUUGGUGGUGGUUAAUGUAAUUACAACGAAACCUAAUUUUAAAUAUUUUUCACGAGUACCAUUGCAGAGUUUGCCAUUGACCACCUCCCAGGAAUGGUGGUACAUUUUCUUUUCUUUAAACACUUUGUAAAAAAAAAUAAGCUCCAACUACUUUGAUCACUGAUUGAGAAAGUAAUGUCAGAUAGUGUGAACAUAAGUUUGAGAUGACUCUUAGUAAGUAAUAAUCCAUUUUUCUAACCUUUUUUAUUUUUUGAUAUUCGUUUUUUUUCUUGUAACCACACUUUGAUCAAAUUUGCUCAAAAGCCUAAAAUUUAAUAUAAUAUAUAUGUAUUUACUAAUAAAGUUUAAAAAAAAUCAGAGUCUCCAUCUAAAAAAGAAUGUUUUAACUCAAGUCACAUUAUAAGUAUAGAUUGACCAUAAUAUCCUCUUAAUCACAUAUUAAUUAUAUCAUAGCCUAUUUAUGUUAUGAAACGAUAUAUUUUUUCAUUUUUAGUUAAAUUCUUUUAGAUUAUUAUGAAAUAAUUAUCUAUAUAUAUAUAUAUACCAUACAUUACAAAACGAAAUAGUUUUUAUUUUUAGUUGGACUUUUUUUGGGGUCAUUAUUCAAAACCCACACUCACCUUUUAGGCCAUUUGUUAGAGUUUUAUAAAACAAAAAAAUAAAUAGAUAUAAAUGUAAGAUAAUAUAUAUUGUAGACUUAUACGAAAAGUUUAAAUUACCAACAAAUAUAAAUAUUAUACAGUAAUACAUUUUUAAAAAAAUAUUGCUUGUUUAAGAUUCUGCUGGGGGAAAGAACUGAGUGAUUCCAAACGCUCACAAGGUGAAUCAAGCAACAACAAAAGCCAAGAGAACUAGGCUGAGGGAGCCAAACCGACUUUCUAGAAGGGGAAGAGGUAGUUUCGAGGCAAAUAAAAAGCCAAGGGUGGAAUGUUAGGUGAGGACUAUUGGCUUAUAAAAAACCAGUGGUUUGGAGUCAACUUUUUCAUCCGGAUGUUUAUAUAAUCAAAAAAAAAAGUUUUUAAAUUCAGAAUUAGAUUUUAUAUAAUCAACAAAUGAAUUAUAUUUGACAUAAAAAAUAUAAAUUCAUGUACAAACAACAAACCUGGUCUCAUUCGAUCAAGUUUUUAAACGAAAUUUUUAAGGUAUACUAAUGGAAUAACUUUUAAUAUUUAAAAAAGUAUACAUAAAAUUUAUUUUUUCAGUUGAGUAAUAAAAAUAAAAAAUACUAAUAAUUUAAGGAAUACUUAUAUAAGUAAAUCAAUACAAAGCAGGGUAUCAAUUCUCAAUCCCUUCCGGAAUUUAGGUAAGAACUAUUGGUUCAUAAAAGUCGUUGAAUUCAUAAAGUCGUUGAACUAUUGGGUUAUCAUCUCAAGUCCAAAUUGCCGUUUUACUUAGUUUUUGUCAUUUUUAUUUAUUCAUCUAAAAAAUUUAUUUACCGACUAUUUUAACUAUUUAAAGUUAUCACUUUCCCAUAUAUUAUAUUCUAUCUAAGAUUCUAUUUAAACCUUGAUUAUAUGAACACUCAUGUGACUGGUUUCUCUAUAUUUUUCCAAUUUUAAAUAUGCCUUUUAAUUUUGGAAGAAAAAAAAAAAUCAUAUUCAUUGCCUCUCUGUUUGGGCUCUCUCUAUUUUUCUAUUUCCUUUUCUAACUUCUAUGUUUUUUUUUAUGUCAACUAAGGAUUUCUACAAAAAUUAUUAACAAGAUAAAAAAUAAAAUAAAAAUAAUAAAUAUAAAUAAAUAACAUUUUUAGAUUCAAAAAUAUGAUUUUUUAUAGUUAACGGAGGGUAAACAGAGUCAUUUUCAAACUAGGGCUAAAGUGAUAAAAGUUUUGAGUUUACGCGUAGGCCGAGGUUGUUGUUUGACUUGGGCAAGCGCUUAUUGUGCGCUGGGGGAACACUGCCACAUGCUUAGUGGGGCCCACCAGAAUGAAGAAAACCUGUUGACCUGUGUCAGUUACGGUGUUUUCGUGUGGAUUUAUUUUUUUACUUAUUUUUGAGGUGGAUUCCAAAAACAAUCGAAGUUAUAAUUUUAGUUUAUUGAUUUUUUUUAGUAAAAAAAUUACUUAAAUAGAGAUCUGUAAUCAGGUUCUUAUUGAAUGUUUACUAACUCAGUUUCACAGUCUGUGUAUUACAAUAAAUUAAUUUUUUUUGGAUUAAAACAAAAAAAUUUUUAAAAUAAAACAUCGAGUUUAUUUUACUUUUUUUAGUUAGAUUCUUUUUGGAUUAUUCAUGAAAUAAUUUAUUAUAUAUGUGUGUGUAUUACGCCUAUUUAUGUGUAAGAAAUGAUAUCAUUUUUCUGUUUAUUUUUUUUUAUUUCUUUCUUUUUUAGUAACAAAAAAAUUAAUCAAUUGGGAUCUCAAUCAAAGUCUCCAUCUGAAGGUUUAUCUCAAGUCCCAAUAUGGGUAUAUGGACUUAAUCAACCCUAUUAAUACUUAUUACUUAACAUAAUAUUAUGACUAUACGUAUCAUAUAAAAAUAUUUAUAUGUAAUAUUACGCAUAUAUUCUCUUUCCAUUUUAUUUUCUUUUUCCAUAUAUUCUUCUCAACGGUUUCUAUGCAAUGUUAGAUUAUUUGUAAACUUAAUUUGUAUUCUUUUUUUAUUUUUAAUAUUUAUUUAUUUUUUAUUAAAAAUUAUUAACUGAAACAACAAAAAUUUGAUAAAAACCCAACAAUAAUAAAGAAAAUUUUAUCCAAAAAAAACGAUAAAAAAAAUAUAUUACAAUUAAAAAAAGUACAUACAAAUAAUUAACAAGAAAAACUAAAAAAAAAAAAAACAUCGCAGGGGUGUGGGGUGGGGGGCUGGGGUCGGGGCAUAAUGGGGCAUUUUUGCUCUUAGCAACAGGGGAGGUCAUGCCAUUUUUAAACUACGAGAGAGGUCAGUGCAAUUAACAAACCUCAGGGGGUGUGAAGUGACGGAGUUGUCCCCUUUCUUUAUAUUAUCUUUUGUUUUUAGUGUCUCAAGUUAAAGACGGAACAAGCGCCGGAUGCUUAAGAAGAUGGAGAAACUCAACGCAUAUAAUGAUUUUUGAUUUGAAAUAAUGAAAGACACACUAUUUCAGUGAUACACUAACCCUCAUUUAAAUUUCCACCAUUGCUAGGAACGCUGUCCUCCAAUAUUUUGGCUUGAUAGUGACAACUUCGUUGACUAAUCUUAUUUUUUUUCACACUAACUAGCUUCGGAUUUUAGGAUCUUUGGACCCAUUAUUUUUUGUCGUUUUUGCCCCUUUUUUGAUUUGGAAACUAUGGUCAGCUCAAAUUUAUGGGAUCAAAAUGGAUUGAAUGAAAAUUACAUCAAUUCAAAUGUUCAUUCCCAGCACCAAGGAGGAGAGAGAAAUUGUAAAUACAACCUUAGGGUUAUGACCUUUAUAAACGAAUUAAGAUCGUGGGAACUUUAAGUUUAUCAAUUAACCCUGUAGCUUUAGAGUUGUCAAUUUUUUUUUCUACCUUCCUCCACCUCUGGUUUUGCCCGUUUUAGAUCCUUAUAUUCCACCUCUAUUUAUAAUAAAAAGCACUGACUCUGGCUCGGAAGACUUUGAAAAAAUUAUUUUAUCAGUGGUAACCGCUCUGAAAUAGUGACAAGGCAAACGGCUCAGAUUGAGACUAUUUUAGAAGUUUAAAGUUUAAUGGUAAAGACAAGAAUUACAUAUUUUUUUUAGUAUAAUACGUCAAACGCAUUGGCUUUUUUUUAAAUGUAAUAUCCUCCUAAUUUUUCCAAUGACCAAACCCAUAGGAGAAAAAGAGAAAAAAGCUUAUAAUAAAUCAAUAGAAGUUGAAGGUUCUUGCCUUUUGGACCGAAGGUCCACGACAAAAUUCAAGAAUCUAAGCUGAUGAUAACUAUGGCUUCCAUUUGGUAUGUUAAAACCAAUUUUUUUAAGAUGUUUAUAAAACCACUUUAAUUUUUUUUUGGCUUUUUUUAAUUUUUUUACUUUUAUUUUAGUUAAAAAUAAUAAAAAAAUAAAAAAGUCAACCCUACUACUGAUUUUUUUAACUAGCUUAAACAUAUCGAUUUAUAUUUUCAAAUAAUUCAAAUAUAAAUUGAUAUUUUUUGUAGUAAAAAAAAUAUUUCAAAAAUGACACUAGGUGCCUCGUUUGUAAUUGUGAUAGAAUUGGUAGAAUUAGUAAUGAGGUGGGAUUCUGAUUGGGAUUGAUAUAGAGAUGGGAUGAGUAUCUGGCAAUAGUCCGACGAGGGUAUUUGGUUUGCACGAGAUUGAUAGUAGGAUUAGAAAUAUCAAGGGUAAUUGUGUCCAAUACUGUCGCAAAAAAAUAUGAAAUUUUUUCAUGAAAUUCAUACUUACCCUUUUUUUUAUAUAAAUAUUACAAAUAUCAAGGGUAAAAUGUCAAGUUUGAGGCCUAGGAGCAGGGGGAUUGCUAAUCCCCCCAGGGGAUUAGCAACCCCCCCAAAUGGGGGAUUCGUAGUCCGUGUGGCUAUUGUCCGGCCGUCGCUGAAACCAAACACGGAUUAGGGGCCCCACAGGACUAAUGUCCCAUCCCCCCUCCAUGCCCGGUUCCAAACAUGGCCUAUAAUCCUUGUUUUGUUAAUCCAAUGGAUUUUUCUAUUUAGAUUUUUUAUUAGUGUCCUUUUCUAAUAAAAUCCUCCACUAAAGACAAAAUUAAUUCAUCUAAAGGUACAAAUUUUCCAACUUAUGGUACGAAUGAUACUCCAUAAAUUAUAGAAUGAAUUACUCUAUAUUUAUAUGAAAAAGUGGCUCGCACCUAUUCUCUUGGUAUGUGACGCAACUCUCAGGUAAGCAUAGAGUAAUUUGUUCAAUAAUUUAUAAAAUAUAACCUAUUUUAUUGUUAUCCAAAGAAGACCUUAGUAUUUUGAUGAGGAAUUAGUGGUAGCAUUUUGGCUUAAUUUCUUAGAACCCCUAAAUUAAUGGCAUUUUAUAAAAUCACUUUUUAUUGCUCUUCACCUAAAAAAUAAAUCAUGUUGACAUCCUUAACUAUUUCAGUAUUUUUUACCCUCUUUUUCGUUACAAUCGUGUAAAACAGUGACAAAAUCAAUCAAUUGUUGUCAAAUACCCUUAAUCCAUACGCCUUUAUUUUCUUAAAAAUACUUUUAAUGCUCUAUACAUAUAUUUAGUACUAGAGUGAUGUUACUUAUACAAUAAUGAACAUAGCACUUAUAUCUAGUGUUGAUUUAUUUUUCACAAAAAAUCUGAUAUUUCUGUAGAAUAAUGAUUGGUACCCACCUCCAAAGUGGGUGUGUACAAGAACACACCCAUUCCCUCUCACAAUACGUAGGACCCCCCGCCUAGGAGGGUUUUUAGAAAAACAUAAAAACGCCUAAUUAGGGCAGGUCCCACUUAUUUUGUAGAAGGCAAAAUGGGUGUCUCUUGUAUCACACUCACUUUUGGUGUGUACCUAUCACUACUCUUUCUGAUUAACCAUAUUGAAUUGAAGCACUUGAAUAACAUAUAAUCGAUUUUUAUUAUUUUAUACACAAUUACUAACCACAAAAAAUUAAAACGAUACAACAAUCAAUGUAAUCCAAAUCUUUUUCACGAGUCCUUGUUAUAAUCAUGGCCGUACCUUUGGAUCCCAAUGCGCCUGACAUCCCAAAAGCCCACUUCUUUGCGCUUGUGUUCUCAAUAAAUAAAGGGAUAACUUCCAUCCACACCCCUGAGGUUUUUUCAUAAUUGCACUGACCUCCCCUGUAGGUUAUAAAAAAUGGCACUGACCUCCCCUGUCGAGCAAAAUGACCAUUAUGCCCCACCCCCCACCCAGCGAUUUUUUAAUUUUUUGUUUUUAGUUUU